rnacentral:tRNA from 1 species
GGCCCGUUAGCUCAGUUGGUUAGAGCGUCGUGCUAAUAACGCGAAGAUCGUGGGUUCGAUCCCCCCACGGGCCA